CGGGGCCGAGACAGAUAAAACCAUCGACCCGUCGCCGCCAGCGCUUCGGCUUUAUCGAUCCGACGGGAAUUUCACUUGCUGUGCAGAUCCCGCUGUCCGGCUAGGGGAAGUCCUCCAUUGAAGCAAAUUACCCAGAAGCCCUUCUGGACAGCCAAGCCUCUCUCUUGGAUCACUUGCUCUGCGGGAAGUCAGCUGCCAUGUCACAGGGAAACUCCAGUGGCCCUAUGGAGACAGCUGUGUGUUGAGGACUGAGGCUCCUGCCAGCAGCCAUGUGAGGGCGCCAUCUUGGGAAGGGGUCCUGCAGUCCCAGUCAAACCUUCAGAUGACUGCAGCCUCGUUAGAGACUCAGAGCCAGAAGCCACAACUACCCACAACCACCCAACUACCCAACUAACUGAUGACCCACAGAAACUGAGAUAAUAAAUGUUUGUUGUUUUAAGCCACUAGGUUUUGGGGUAAUUUGUAACACAGCAGAAGAUAACUAAUACUUCUUCCUUCAGGGUUCAGCUCCAGCCUCACCUCCCUCAGGAGGCCUUCUCUGCUCUUUGCUGGGUUAGGUGCCUCCUCAAUGCUCCCACAGCUCCAGUUCUUCCCAUAGAGCAGUCUCUAUCCCUCAGGGUUUCUAUUGCCUGGCUCUCCUUACUCUCAGAUUACCAGCUUCUGAGGGUGGGGCCGUUUCUCAUUCCCCUCCGGAUCCCCUCCUCCCUGCACGGGGGGUUAGAGGAGAGGGUAGAAGGAAGGAGGGUCAGUGAAGGCUGAGGUGGGAUUGGGAGUAGUGGGGUAGGCUGUUCCCCUGUGGCAGAUUGUAUUUUCCAGCGAUGGCUACAAUCAUAUCUCCCAUCCCACACGCUCUUCUAUAAUAUGAAGAAUAUGCGACUUCUCCUGUCAAAAGGUGGGGUGGAUGUCCUCUGCCCUUGAAUCUGGCUGGGCUAACACUGCCUCUACCAAUAGAGUAUAGCAGAAGUGACAUCAAGUGAUUUCUGAGGCUAGAUUGUAAAAGGUGAUCCAGCUUCCAUCUUGUUGUCGGAAACGUUUGCUUUAGAGCCCUAAGCUGCCAUGUAAGAAGUCCAACUAUCCCGAGGCUGCUAUGCUACGAGAAAGCCCAGGCCACGUGGAGAAGCCAAGUGUAGGUGCUUUGGUCACAGCGCCAGCUGAGGCCCCAGCUGACAGCCAGCAUCAGCCACCAGACAUGUGAGUGAAGGAGCCUCCAGGUGAUCCUAGCUCCUAGCCAUCGAGUCUUCCCAGCCGGAGCCCCAGACAUCCUGGAGCAGACACAAGCCAUGCUCUCUGUGCUCCAUCGGAAUGCCUGACCCCACAGAUACCAUGAGCAUAAUGAAAUGAGGGCUUUAAACUGCUAAGAUUUGGGGUCAUUUGUUAUACCCCUCCUCUACUCCCUUUGAUAAUCUGGCUCCUCCACAAGGCUGUCCAGGAGGCUCUACCCAGUCCUUCAGGCAAGGACAAGGCAGGUGGGGUGGAGCAGCUGGGGACAUGCCUGAGCACAUUCUCAAGAUCGUCACCUUUCAGACCCUGAGAUUCAUAGAGAAGACUGUGCUUCCUCCCCUGGAUGGCAGCACCAGGCUGCACUUCUGACGGGGCGGCCAGGCCCAGGCCCUGCUUCUGUUACUCUGCCCUGAGGCUCAGAAUAGCAGUGCAGGGCCUGUGGCAGUGGCUUGUCAUGCCCUUUCCAGUUCCUUUUGUGCCCUUUUGAGGUUGAGGCCUGAAGAGGGAUUACUCUCCUCCCAUCUCCAAAAAUAGAGCAAGAAGAGAAAGGCAGCACCAUUCAGCUGGAGGACCUGAGAAUUGUAAGCAGGGUGGAGGAGAAUGGCAGCAGAGCCUUGUCUUCUACGUAGAGGCUGGGGUGUGGGCCAGGCGGCUGUUCCUGGGACAUGGUGGCUGGAACCCCGAGUAGAAUCCUCUGGCAAGCAGGCUCCCCCCUGGUCGGUGGCUUACCUGGCGGGCAGUUGGGCCAGCUGUUCCAGUUCUUGCUCCAUAUGUUCUUGCAACUCGCUGGGCCUCAGCAGGACCUGGCAGAUGGGGCAAAUAGGGGCCUGGCUGUCAAACAAUGCUGCUGCCUUUUUCUUACCUAGUGAGGGAAGA